GGGACAACUGCCAAUGGCUAUAAAAAAGCAUAGGCUAGUGGAUAAAGGGUUUUUUUUAGGAGGAUUGUUUUUCAUAGGGAGAGAAAAGAAGCACGGUAAAGCGAAGUAAGCGAUCUAAGACGACAUACCAACGGGGAUUUUCUUACCAGGGGGGAGUGUUUCCAAGUACGUUUUCUGUAGACCCUUCCUUCAUUCCCGUUAUCUUCUUGUUAUGUAUUGAUCUUCGCAGGAUUUUGGGUUUUGUCUCAAUGCUUGGGUGUAGAAUGACAGAGGUUAUAUGUUUGUUUGCAUUGGUACUUGAUUGCUUCUAUAGAUGUUGAUAAUUUCUUUCUUUGGAGUUCUUUAGAUAUGGUUUAGGGCUAAAAGGUUCUACAAUUUUUUUUUAUUUGUCGUGCAUUCAUGAGAACUGUGAUUGUAUUUGUUUGUUGGAAUCUACUCGUGCUCCCCUCACCAACCUAAGCCCAUGGAAUAAAAUAUGAAAUGUGGCUUCCAUUGGUUCUUCCUUUUGUUGUUUAUUUUUUUCAUGCAGAUUUUCCAGUCUUCCUCUAUUUUAUGUGGAUAUUUCGAGUAUUUCUAGCCAUGUCUGCGUCACUGAUUAUGGGGCUAGAGAAUGGCUUCUUGAUGUUGUCAAAACUUGAUGUUCAAAUUUGGAAGAAGAAAGAAGGUGCAGGGGUUUCUCGUACAACUACUUGUGUGGCACUGGUCGAAGUAUCUGUUACUGGAGAAUGAAAGAAGCAGAACAAGGGUAGAAGAACAGAAGACGACCUUCAACUUUCACGGGGUAUAUUUGUUUUGAGAUUUUCAUUCUUGUGG
rnacentral:lncRNA from 1 species